AUUGAACGCUGGCGGCAUGCUUUACACAUGCAAGUCGAACGGCAGCACGGGUGCUUGCACCUGGUGGCGAGUGGCGAACGGGUGAGUAAUGCAUCGGAACGUACCGUGUCAUGGGGGAUAACGCUUCGAAAGAGGUGCUAAUACCGCAUACGCCCUGAGGGGGAAAGCGGGGGAUCGUAAGACCUCGCGUGAUACGAGCGGCCGAUGUCGGAUUAGCUAGUUGGGGAGGUAAAGGCUCACCAAGGCGACGAUCCGUAGCUGGUCUGAGAGGACGACCAGCCACACUGGGACUGAGACACGGCCCAGACUCCUACGGGAGGCAGCAGUGGGGAAUUUUGGACAAUGGGGGAAACCCUGAUCCAGCCAUGCCGCGUGAGUGAAGAAGGCCUUCGGGUUGUAAAGCUCUUUCGCAAGGAAAGAAAACCUAUCCGCUAAUACCGGGUGGGGAUGACGGUACCUUGAUAAGAAGCACCGGCUAACUACGUGCCAGCAGCCGCCGUAAAAC
rnacentral:rRNA from 1 species